rnacentral:snRNA from 11 species
ACACUCUAGUUUCUCUUCAGAUCGCAUAAAUCUUUCGCCUUUUACUAAAGAUUUCCGUGGAGAGGAACACUAUGAGUUUUAACUAAUUUUUUGAUGCCCUGCUUCACUGCGGGGCU